UCUAUAUCAGAUAUAUUAGAUCUGUUUGUAUCUUUAGUUAGCUUUCUCCUGCAUCUCACUGGUUUUUCUAUUUCAUGGAAUUGGUGGCGAACCGAUUCUCUCGUCUCAUUCUGUUGGAGUUGCUGAGGAAGGAACACAGUGGUGGUCAUCAAGGCUUCUCAUUUUUGUUCGUGGUAUUAGUUGGUAUAUUAGGCAUUCUUGUGGGCUACCUUGUUAAGACAUAGGACAUUUUGCAGUACUGGUCGUAACAACAUGGUGUCGUAAUGUGUUCAUGAUAAACUGGUUUGCAGGAUAAGUGAAGCAGGACUGUGCAUGUCGGGGAAAUGCUGUGCCCAUUUGUUCUAUGAUUCUUGAAUGUAUUUUGGUCUCAGUGCUGUAUCUCUUUAUCCUGAACUCGUGCCAUUUGAUAGUAUCUUCUCGCCGUUAAAAGAAGAAAAAGGAAGAGAUCUUUUGUCU